CACGUGGCCAAACUACCCUUCGGACCACCAUACCCUCGGGAAACUGAGGCUAAUAGUGGAUACCACAGUCCGCCUGGAAUGAGGACUGUGCCAACCGCUCCGGCGCCGAAGGAUGUGGCUGCGGCCGAUUAGGUAGACGGUGGGGUAACGGCCCACCGUGCCAAUAAUCGGUACGGGUCAUGAGAGUGAGAACCCGGAGACGGAAUCUGAGACAAGAUUCCGGGCCCUACGGGGCGCAGCAGGCGCGAAACCUUUACACUGCACGCCAGUGCGAUAAGGGAAUCCCAUGUGCGCAGACAUAGAGCCUGCGCUUUUGUCCACCGUAGGGAGGUGACGAAUAAGGGCUGGGCAAGACCGGUGCCAGCCGCCGCGGUAAUACCGGCAGCCCAAGUGAUGGCCGAUCUUAUUGGGCCUAAAGCGUCCGUAGCUGGCCGCGCAAGUCCAUCGGAAAAUCCACCCGCCCAACGGGUGGGCGUCCGGUGGAAACUGCGUGGCUUGGGACCGGAAGGCGCGACGGGUACGUCCGGGGUAGGAGUGAAAUCCCGUAAUCCUGGACGGACCGCCGAUGGCGAAAGCACGUCGCGAAGACGGAUCCGACAGUGAGGGACGAAAGCUAGGGUCUCGAACCGGAUUAGAUACCCGGGUAGUC
rnacentral:rRNA from 1 species